UAACAUGACAGUAAAAAUGAUACAUUGAGUAGUAACAUUCCUGUAUAAUAUAACAUUUGAAGUCACUUUGAUGUAAAAUGUUACAUAAAAGCAACAUGCCAGAUAAAAUGUUUCUUUGAGAGUAACAUUCCUGUAUAAUAUAACAAUAAUAAGUCACUUUGAUGUAAAAUGUUACAUAAAAGCAACAUGCCAGAUAAAAUGUUUCUUUGAGAGUAACAUUCCUGUAUAAUGUAACAUUUUAAGUCACUUUCAUGUAAAAUGUUAUUUUAAGUAACAUGCAAGUAAAAAUGCUACAUUGAGAGUAACA
rnacentral:lncRNA from 1 species